UCCUACGGGGCGCAGCAGUGGGGAAUAUUGCACAAUGGGGGAAACCCUGAUGCAGCGACGCCGCGUGAGUGAAGAAGUAUCUCGGUACGUAAAGCUCUAUCAGCAGGGAAGAAAAAAAGUCUUUGGCUUUGGACGGUACCUGACUAAGAAGCCCCGGCUAACUACGUGCCAGCAGCCGCGGUAAUACGUAGGGGGCAAGCGUUAUCCGGAUUUACUGGGUGUAAAGGGAGCGUAGACGGAGGAGCAAGUCUGAUGUGAAAAUCCGGGGCCCAACCCCGGAACUGCAUUGGAAACUGUUUAUCUAG
rnacentral:rRNA from 1 species